rnacentral:tRNA from 1 species
AGUAGUUAACGUAGCAAAACCAGGUAUUGCAAAAGACCUAAACCCUUUCUACAGAGAUUCAAA